UCGUGUUAUUCAUCUGUUACUAGCUAAAGCUACAAUGGUGUCCAUUUGGGGAUCCUUCAGAAACCUUCUUAUUCGCGAGGUGAAAAUUAGGGUUAGCCGUUAUCUUCACAAUGAACGAGCUUGAGCAACAAUGGUGAUCUAAUCGAGUCAGACGCAUCGUCGUUUCGUAUUUGGUCUUUAACCCCCAGACGUUACGACUCUCUUCUUUCAUCAGCUUUAAGAGAUGUCUUAACUCCACCGACGCAAUCAAGCACGACGUCUCAUUCAAUCAUACUCAUUCAACUCCAAGACCGUUUUCUGUACUUAUAAAAAAGGUGUUGAUGCUCCAAUUCUGGGAGGCCGGAAAAGCACAACGCGGUGACGAGUUAAUGGGAGUUGAUAUGCUCCUCUUCGAUGUGAAGUCAACCCUCAUGCCAGCCACCGUGAACGUUCACCGGCUAGCCAAUUUCAAGGAUCGUCUCCAGGCUGCGGAUUUGAUAUCACUCGGUGCAACCAGAACUUCAGGCUUUCAGACUCACUUAUGACAAUACUGUUCAGUGAUUCAACCAAUCUAGAUGUGCUAACCGAACCAUAUUCACCCAUUCCUGUAAAACGUUUCAGGUUCCGUGAUUAGCCAACACCAACACCU